rnacentral:misc_RNA from 1 species
UCCUCUUCUUUGCGAGAGCCAGCGAGACCGUCCCGGAUGACCAGAGACGAUCCAGCCCAAGCAGGAGAGCGUGCCGCCCAGGCCAGGUGGGUCGUAGACCAGAAUGUCGAGGACGCCGUCAGUUCGGUCGAUGUUCUCGCCCACGCGAAAACGCGGAUGGACGAUUGCUCCGCCCAUCGCGCAGAGGACGAGCCGGGCGGUCAUCUCGGUCUUCUCAUUGUCGAUCGUCAACCGUGCAGUGAACCGAGGUGCGUUGAGGUGACGCGUGGCGGCUGGGAGAUAGGCCAGCCAGCCGACGCGACGUUUCCAGCGUGACGGCGUGUCGCCCAUGAUCGCGGCAUCGAACCCCGCCCCGGCCAUGUGCAUGAAGGUCGUCGCUCCGGCCUUGGCG